rnacentral:rRNA from 1 species
AGUGAACGCUGGCGGUAGGCCUAAUACAUGCAAGUCGAACGGCAGCACAGUAAGCGCUCGCCCCUACGGUUGGCGAGUGGCGGACGGGUGAGACAUACAUCGGAAUCUACUAAUACGGGGGGGACAACGUAGGGAAGCAUCUGCUAAUAGAUCAUAUUACCUACGGGAUAAAGCAAAGGAUAUUGGCACCUUGCGCGAUUGAAUGAGACGAUGUCGGAUUAGCUAGUUGGUGAGGUAACGGCCCACCAAGGCAACGAUACGUAGCUGGGCUGAGAGGAUGAUCGGCCACACUGGAACUGAGACACGGUCCAGACUCCUACGGGAGGCAGCAGUAGGGAAUCUUGCGCAAUGGGCGAAAGCCUGACGGAGCAAUGCCGCGUGAGUGAUGAAGGCCUUCGGGUUGUAAAGCUCUGUUAUUGGGAAAGAAAAGAUGCAUAUUAAAACGCCGAUAUUCUGACGGUACCUAAUCAGAAAGCCCCGGCUAACUACGUG